rnacentral:rRNA from 1 species
UACGGAGGGAGCUAGCGUUGUUCGGAAUUACUGGGCGUAAAGCGUACGUAGGCGGUUACUCAAGUCAGAGGUGAAAGCCCGGGGCUCAACCCCGGAACUGCCUUUGAAACUAGGUAGCUAGAAUCUUGGAGAGGUCAGUGGAAUUCCGAGUGUAGAGGUGAAAUUCGUAGAUAUUCGGAAGAACACCGGUGGCGAAGGCGGCUCACUGGCUCGUAUCUGACGCUCAGGCGCGACAGCGUGGGGAUCAAACAGG